ACUCCGGUUGAUCCUGCCGGAGGCUACUGCUAUUGGGAUUCGACUAAGCCAUGCGAGUCAAGGUGUCUUCGGACGCCGGCAUACGGCUCAGUAACACGUAGGUAACCUACCCU
rnacentral:ncRNA from 1 species